rnacentral:misc_RNA from 1 species
UUAAGUUCAGCGGGUAAUCCUGCCUGAUCUGAGGUCUAAUCUAAAAAUUUGACUAGAAGGGUUGGAAGCUUCCACUCUUAUCUACAAUUCGGCCACCUUAUUGCUAAAGUGUCCUCAGCGAAUAGUCUAUUACGCUGAGUCAAUCCGAGGUUCGAAAUUGAGAUGCUAAUGUAUUACGAACGAGCAGACUAAUAAAAGUC